GACGAACGCUGGCGGCGUGCUUAACACAUGCAAGUCGAACGGAAAGGCCCUGCUUUUGUGGGGUGCUCGAGUGGCGAACGGGUGAGUAACACGUGAGUAACCUGCCCUUGACUUUGGGAUAACUUCAGGAAACUGGGGCUAAUACCGGAUAGGAGCUCCUGCUGCAUGGUGGGGGUUGGAAAGUUUCGGCGGAUGGGGAUGGACUCGCGGGUUAUCAGCUUGUUGGUGGGGUAGUUGCUUACCAAGGCUUUGACGGGUAGCCGGCCUGAGAGGGUGAACGGCCACAUUGGGACUGAGAUACGGCGCAGACUCCUACGGGAGGCAGCAGUGGGAAGUAUUGUCCAAUGGGCGGAAGCCUGAUGCAGAAACGCCGCGUGCGGGAUGACGGCCUUCGGGUUGUAAACCGCUUUCGCCCGUGACGAAGCGUGAGUGACGGUAAUGGGUAAAGAAGCACCGGCUAACUACGUG
rnacentral:rRNA from 1 species